rnacentral:rRNA from 1 species
CCUACGGGUGGCAGCAGUGAGGAAUAUUGGUCAAUGGGCGCGAGCCUGAACCAGCCAAGUAGCGUGAAGGAUGACUGCCCUACGGGUUGUAAACUUCUUUUAUAAAGGAAUAAAGUGAGGCACGUGUGCCGUUUUGUAUGUACUUUAUGAAUAAGGAUCGGCUAACUCCGUGCCAGCAGCCGCGGUAAUACGGAGGAUCCGAGCGUUAUCCGGAUUUAGUGGGUUGAAAGGGAGCGUAGAUGGGUUGUUAAGUCAGUUUUGAAAGUUUGCGGCUCAACCGUAAAAUUGCAAUUGAUACGGGCAGUCUUGUGUACAGUUGCGGUAGGCGGAAUUCGUGUUGUAGCGG